AGUGAACGCUGGCGGCAGGCCUAACACAUGCAAGUCGAACGGCAGCACAAGAUAGCUUGCACUCGGGGUGGCGAGUGGCGGGCGGGAGGGGAAUGCACCGCAAUCUGCCCAUUGGUGGGGGAUAACCUCGGGAAACCGUGACUAAUACCGCAUACUACCUCCGGGUGAAGGCAGGGGAGCUUCGGCGCUUGCGCAGAUGGACGCGCCGGUGCCGCAUGAUCGAGUUGGAGGGGUAAAGGCCCACCAAGGCGACGAUCCGUAGCUGGGCUGAGAGGGUGAUCAGCCACACUGGGACUGAGAGACGGCCCAGAGUCCUACGGGCGGCAGCAGUGGGUAAUAUUGGCAGCUGGGCGGAAGCUUGAUCCAUCGAUGCCGCGUGUGUGAAGCAGGCCUUCGGGUUGUAUAACACUUUUGUUGGGGAAGAACAGCAGCAGGUUAAUACCAGGUUGUCAUGACGGUACCCAAAGAAUAAGCACCGGCUAACUUCGUG
rnacentral:rRNA from 1 species